rnacentral:hammerhead_ribozyme from 1 species
AUCUAGCUGACGAGCCCCGAAUAGGAUGAAACGCGCUUCCUGGAU